GCUAGUGUGACAUAGUGGUCUCAGUGUUGGACUACAACUCUGGAGACCAGGGUUCAAAUCCCAGCUCAGACA
rnacentral:tRNA from 1 species